UCAUAGCUUUCACCUGGAUUGACCUGGUCAAUGUCAUGGAAAGAGCAGGUGUUCAUAAUGUUUUGUCCACUCAGUGUCUAUCCUCUCCUCUACAAGUAUGCCCAUCUAUCUGUGAUUAUUCCAUGUUUAGGUGUUCCUAAUGUUUUGUACAGUCAGUGUAUAAGAACAUGUAUCCCAUUUGAUGCUGAUAGGUACUAUAGAGGCAUUUGAGCUUGUGACAUCAAUGUUCAGUCUAUUGACACUGAUUCCUCUUUUUGUCAGCCCUUCUACACAGGCUCUGGACAGGGGACACAACAGAUACUUUACGCCACAUUAACCAUUCCUACAACACAGCCCAUGCGAUGUCGGGGAGGAUGGAUUCGAGCUACUGGCCAUGAAGUGGCUGCCCACAUUGUCCCGGCAGCAGGCGCGGGAGGUGAGCCCCUAUGAGAGGUGACCGGCUGUGGCAGAGCAGCCUGGUGGGCCUGGCCUCCUCCCCUGCCCUGGUGUGUGCUCUGAGAAGGGUGGACGCCUUCGCCCCCCUACUGUGGCUCCUGCCACGGGACUACCCUGGGAACCUGAACAUACUGUUGUCUCCCACUCCUGAACUGGCCUUCAGACAAGCAUCCCUCUUCUUCUCCCUGGGAGACAUGAUCCCUGGUAAAAACUAGUCAGUGCAAGCUAGGUUCCCAGUGUGAGUCAUUGUUAAACUGCAUGGUGCAGGGUCCCCAGCCGCUGGUCAAACUGUUCCUGUUCAAGCCCCCAUGCUCUGGGGAAAAUCCUCAGCAAAGUCCAGCGGAGUGGCUUCACUGUGGUGGACCUGCAUGUGCUGGUUCUGGACAAUAGCACAGCUGUGUCAUAUUGUUUUAAAUGCAUUGGCUCAGUUUCCCUCUUGUGUUUUCCUCUAGGACCCCUCUGCUGUAGAAGCCCAUGUUCAGUACUUGAGCUCUGGGCCUUCCCUGGCUCUGUGCCUGCAGAGGGAGAAUGCUGUGAAGAUGCUACUGGACGUGCUGGGACCUGAGGACCCUGCCCAGGCCCGCACUCAGGACCAAUUCCUCUGGAGGGCCUGUUACAGCUCAGACCAUCUACACAGCGGCAUCUAUGGAUCGAGGAGCUAUCAGAGACCUGUUCCCACAGGGCCUAUGCUGCACAGAGACCAACACCAUGAGACAGGAGCAGAUACCAAGUGUACACUCAGACCAUUUGGCUUGUCUGGCCCGUGAACAGAGCCACACUCUUGCCGCUGCGAACAAGCCAUCUUUAUCACACCUUAUGGCUUCUGGACUGAAUUGAGCAGCGCCCUCGGUCCACAGUGCUCUCUGCCAAACCACCUGCCUGCUGCUGCCCUCCAGUGUACUGGGCCCAGCCCACAUCCACCUGGACCUGCUUGAGCAGCUGCUGAGGACAGGCUGCCACCUGGUGGCCGAGAGGAUGAGUGCCUUGGACGAGACCCAGAGAUGUCACAUAGCUGAGACACUGAUGCUACCCUCUGAGGGAUGGGAAGAUUUCUGCUCUACCUGAGGGCCCUUGUCUUAUCGUUGUUCUACAGAAAGAUAACGCUGUGACCUGCUUUGACGCCAUGCUUGAAAGGCAUUGCAGCUGCUGUGCUAUCUAUUUGAUGCCCUGUCUCCUGAUAGUCAUCAUGCCAUUGUACCACAGUAAUAUGAGUGAACCUUAAUUCUAUAGAGCAUUACGAAGAGGGCCAACCUAUUUUCUGGAAUUCUGUGCCAAUCUUUGAUUAUAAUCCAUUUGAUACAUUCCAAUACUGUAUAAAGAAAAUAUUUAUUUAAUUGGUUGUAGUAAGAAACCUUUUUAUGUAACCCACCCCCAAAAGAAAAGUACAAAUGGUAUUUUCAUGUGAAGAAAAUAAAUACUUAAAAUUCUG